GGGACCGUGGUGUAGGGGUAAGCGUGGUUGCCUCUCACCUAGUCGGCUUGGGUUCGAAUCCAGACGGUCCCG
rfam:Culex pipiens quinquefasciatus supercont3.21 genomic scaffold, whole genome shotgun sequence.